rnacentral:rRNA from 1 species
UACAGAGGUCCCAAGCGUUGUUCGGAUUCACUGGGCGUAAGGGUGCGCAGGCGGUUAUAUAAGACAGUUGUGAAAUCCCCGGGCUCAACCUGGGAACUGCAUCUGUGACUGCAUCGCUGGAGUGCGGCAGAGGGGGAUGGAAUUCCGCGUGUAGCAGUGAAAUGCGUAGAUAUGCGGAGGAACACCGAUGGCGAAGGCAAUCCCCUGGGCCUGCACUGACGCUCAUGCACGAAAGCGUGGGAGCAACAGG